rnacentral:rRNA from 1 species
UACGGAGGGUGCAAGCGUUAUCCGGAUUCACUGGGUUUAAAGGGUGCGUAGGUGGGUCUGAAAGUCAGUGGUGAAAUCUCCGGGCUCAACCCGGAAACUGCCAUUGAUACUACAGGUCUUGAAUUUUCUGGAGGAUAGCGGAAUAUGUCAUGUAGCGGUGAAAUGCUUAGAUAUGACAUAGAACACCAAUUGCGAAGGCAGCUUACUACGGAUAUAUUGACACUGAGGCACGAAAGCGUGGGGAUCAAACAGG